GCCGGUUUAGCUCAGUUGGUAGAGCAGCGCACUUGUAAUGCGAAGGUCGAGGGUUCAACUCCUUUAACCGGCA
rnacentral:tRNA from 3 species